rnacentral:rRNA from 1 species
AACGAACGCUGGCGGCAUGCCUAACACAUGCAAGUCGAACGAGACCUUCGGGCCUAGUGGCGCACGGGUGCGUAACGCGUGGGAACCUGCCCUUAGGUUCGGAAUAACUCCCCGAAAGGGGUGCUAAUACCGGAUAAUGUCUUCGGACCAAAGAUUUAUCGCCUUUGGAUGGGCCCGCGUUGGAUUAGCUAGUUGGUAGGGUAAAAGCCUACCAAGGCGACGAUCCAUAGCUGGUCUGAGAGGAUGAUCAGCCACACUGGGACUGAGACACGGCCCAGACUCCUACGGGAAGCAGCAGUGGGGAAUAUUGGACAAUGGGCGAAAGCCUGAUCCAGCAAUGCCGCGUGAGUGAUGAAGGCCUUAGGGUUGUAAAGCUCUUUUACCCGGGAUGAUAAUGACAGUACCGGGAGAAUAAGCUCCGGCUAACUCCGUG